ensembl:snRNA U6 U6 spliceosomal RNA
GUACUCGCUUUGGCAGCACAUAUACUAAAAUUAGAACAAUACAGAGAAGAUUAGCGUGACCCUACGCAAGGGUAAUAUACCUGUCAUUCGUGAAGUGUUCCCUAUUUUU